AUUUCUCCAAUUUUCACAGGUAAGUUCAUAGAUUUCUGGUCUGCAAUCUAAAUAGUUAUACUCCUUAACUAUGCUUCAUCUUCUCUAAUUUGAUUGUGACAGUUUGUUUCAUUUUUUCCUUGGCAUAGUAUUAUACUUGCUCAUAUUCAGCUCUAUCCGUGAUAUGUGUGCUGUCGAUAUUUUUAUUUCAGAGCAUUUGCUAUAAUUUUUGAAUGUAGAAUCUUAUGUGAGAUAAUCCCUUUUGUGGGACUGACCUUCAGGAGUUACAUUCUGCUACCAUUAUAACUGUUCUUCAUUUUUCUUUUUCUCGAUCAUUAGUACUCUAUUAAGCCUUCAAGGGGUUUGAAAGCUUCUUUGUUCACUUAUAUUUUCCAUUUCAUGUUGGCUAAAUUGAAUGAACUGAAAAUCCAACCAUCUUGGAACUUAACAAAAUAAAACAAACAAGAAGCUAGCGAAAGCUGGAUUACCUUUCUGUGUACAUAUCUCUUUUUCAGAAAUUGGGACUCACUAAAUGAAUAAUGGAUACGUUGAUAAAUAGUUUUCGUCCUUGGUAUUCUCCUAAAGAAAUUACGAUCUUCAUGUGUUUUUAAGUCAACGUCUUUCUCAUUAGUUUCACCUUUAUAUUUCGGUACGGUUAGAAUAAAUUGUCAUCUUUGUUUAUCGAUCAUUAAAUGUUAAAGUUGUGUAUGGACUAUAAUGUCUUAUACUUGAAGAUAAAACGAUUCUGCUAAAUUUGGACGUGUAUGUAAAUCUUUCUGAUUGAGGCAGAUCACUUCUGUUAUGCAUCCCUCUGCUAAAGUUGUGUAUAUACUUUUUUCCUACUAAUCGUUAGCUCCAAUUUCUUUUAGAUUUACAGGUAACGCAAUCUGUCACUUUCUUUUAGUUAUUUCAAAUGAGUUUUGCUUUAACCAUAUGGGUUCAGUAAUAUUUUGUACAUAUUUACUUCCUUAUGGAUUUGACAUUUCACCUUUGCUAGAUUGUGAAGAUUUUCUCUUUGACGUUCUGAAAUGUUUGUAUUUAAAAUAAAAUGAUAUAUAAUUUUCAGUUUUUCUCCUUCUCUAUCCUUCAUUCACUUCUUAGACUAAAACGGUAAUAUUAAACAUUGAUGCACUAGAAAAUGAAUUCAAGAUUCCAUACAAACAUUUCUUAUAUUCACCUAUUUUAGUCUCUAUGCUCGCUUUACCUUGCAAGAUAAAUGAAAAGGAUAGAUAAUCCAUAAUGAUAUAGCCCUCUGAAAAAUGAUGUGUUGAAAUAUUCUACUUUUAAUAGGAAGUUGAUGUAUAUAAAUCUUUAUGGGCAAGCGUACAAAUCAAUUCUUAUGAUAAUACUUUAAAAGAUGACAUUAAAGUUCCAGCUGCUUCUUAAUAUUUGAGAGCGUCUUCCAGGAACUUAUGUAUAUAAAAUUCUAUUGUAGUUUACUCACUAAGGUUAGACUCCGAAUGUAAAAAUUACUUCUCCUCUGAAUAUGUUAGCAAAAGAAAUCAUCUUAGUUGGAAGUAAACUUUGGUGCAAGGUAAGUACUUUUGAAUGGAUACUUAAUUUUGUGUUCCUUUUGUUGAGCUUGACACUUAGUUUGAAGAGCUUGUGCUGAAGUUUAAAAGACUCUGUAUUAAAGAUACUUGGAGUUUUCUUUCAACCAUCAGAUGAAAUCAUGUUGGUGACUUUUAUUUCGCAACUCGACAAUGAAACCAUUAAAAGUUGAGCUUAAGUUCAAUGACAAGGAGAUUUCUCUAAUUUGAGCAGAAAGUGUAAGGUAGGGGGAAGCAAGGGAAUAUGGUAAGGUCUUAACCUAGAACGUACUAUAUAUGAUGUUAAAAGGCUCAUUGGAAAUAAGUUUGUUAUCAACUAAGAAGUAAAUUUUUUAUGUGAAAAUAGUAAAAUAAUUUUGUGGGGCUUGUGAUUCUUUGGUAUCCAAUUAGGCAUGUUAUCAUUUCCAUUCCAAGUAUAUUUAAAAACGAAAGAUUAUUCAUAACAUGUGUUUCCAUAUCACAGCUACAACAGUGAUAUUAAAUCUCUUUGUUCAUAAAAAAGUUCUAUCUUUUUGUUUUAUUAUUUUUGUGUAAUGUGCAGUGUAUAUGCUAUUGCUUUCUCACAUAUAUAUUAUCAACUUCUUCAUUGAAAUGUCAUGAUAGGACUUUCUCAGUCAUGUGGAACGCCGGUCUUUUAACAUGUCGCACCAAGUUUCCUGAAAAUUAUGUUCCUUUGAUGUUCGGCGCAUGUUCCGUCUAUGUUCCUUUAAUGUUGGGUGCGUGCUCCUGAAAAUUAUAUUUCUUUGGGUUAAUGUCUUGUUAGGGCAGGCAGUAACGACGAUAGAGACAAAGAGCUAUGAGAAAUUGGUGCAGGAUCUUGAAAACACUCACUCUCUUAAGAUUAUGAAAAGGCCCUUGACAUAUUUCGGAAUGACACUGCUAUUAUUUUCAGGUCCUGAAGAAAAAAUAUAUCUUAUAACGUUUCAAAGACCCCAAAAUGAAGGAUAAGAGAAGAGAAAAAUCAGACAAAUAAAUGGAUGACAAAAUUUGGAAUGCUUAAAGUUGUGCAGUGUGUUGUAGAUGGUAUUUUCAUGACAUUUCACUUUUUUAUGUUUAAGUUUGAACUUAUGUUUUGAACAUAUGCUUGCUAUACUUUUUCAUUACUAUAAUUUUUAUAAAUCAAGUUUGUGUUUAUGUGGAGUUGGUUGAUUUAUCCUUCUACAAGUAGGAUGCUAGCUGUUAGACCACUACUACCUUUUUUCCCAUUAAUAACACAAUUUUUAUUUCUAUGAAGAAUGAUGUUGUUUGUUGUAAGUAGUAUAUUCUUUCAUCGUGCGUCUUUAUAGCUAUAUAUAUUAAACAUUGAGUUGAACACCAAGUGGUCCUCUUUACUUGAACUUGAUAGAAAGUAAGAUGGUGUUUUGAAUAACACUACAAGUAACUUUACUACUGGAAAGUUAGAUGAACACAACUUUUGAAUAACACUACAAGUAAGAUGGCGUUUUUAUUCUGUCAUAAAUAAAUAUUCUACCACAUGAUCGGAUGAGUAUCACUGAACAAUUAAAAGGAAUCAAACAUAUUUUGUGGAUGCCAUCUUGAAAAUAAUGUAUAUGUGUACUCAAGGAAAAACAAUGUAUGUCAGUGAGGUUUUUCAAUAGAAUAUUACUUAAAUUUGAGAAAUACAAUGAAACUUUUUUUAUGAAUGUAUCCUCAUAUAGACAUGUUGUAGAAAUCAACCCCACAUUAUACGAUCUUUACAAUAGAAAAAUUGAUUAAAAUUCCCUUUGGUAUAAAGUAGAUCAAGAAAAGGAAUGUGUAGUACAAUUAUUGAUCUAUGAAAAAUGUUGAAUCAUUUGUACUUCUAUCCCUAUUUUGUCUUGGUCAUAUUCACUUACUUCCACGUCUUCGGUGUACUCCGCAACCUAUCUUUUUUAGUAACUACUCAGUCCAUGUUGUUGUUUUAGUUUAAUCCCAUCUAUCCUUUCUUCUUUCAUGCCCUCUUUCACUCUGCUUUGCCCGUCGCUUUCCAUCCCCCUCUUCUAUCUCAUGAUAUUGUUGUAUCUUCCUUGAUGAUAUCAGUUUCUUCAGGAUCAUUCUACUUUAAUGUGGCUGGAUCAAUCUCUUUUGUUCAGUAAGAAAAAUCUCACAAAAAGCUUGAAGUUUUGUUACAAUGAUGUGAAUCUUGAAGUUCUGUUACAACCAAAUCAUGUCAUCUCUGCUUAUUAUUAGUUCCAAGAGUUGAUUGUUUUGGGAGAUGAUUCAAAGCGCUAAUAAACUUGAACGGUGGACUUAGGUAAGUAGGCAUUUUUUUCCCGUGAUAUCUUUUUUUUCAUAUAGUAUUUUCCCCAAACAAUUGAUGAAUCUUUAUAUGUUAAGGCUUCUGCUUUGAGGUGAUUUAAUUUUCCUGUGCGCUAUGAUUUCAGGUGAUUGUUUAGAAAGAAUUUGAGUUGCCAAAUUCUUUGGUGCUUUCAUGAAAUUAGCAGUGAUAUCGACGGUUGAAAAUUCAGGGCUUCAUUUGAGACGGUUGGAAUUGUCUGAAACUGAUGAAAAUCCUCCACGAAAACCUCAGACUAGCAUUGGAAGCAGUUGUCCAACAAAGAUACUUGCACAAAGAGAAAGUUAAUGGUCCAGAGGUAAUGCAACGUUUUAUGAACUUCCUGAGAGGUCACUAGAUGAGCCAGUUAAUGAUGGAAUGAAAAAGCAUAUAUCAAAGGUUGUCUAAAAGCAAAAAGCACUUGCUGCUUUACAACUUUCAAGACGGAGGAAGAACAAAAAAUAGUCUAUGGUGAAUUGCUCAAGAUCCCAACUCUUCCGUUAUUGCUGCUAAUAGAGAAGGGAUCAAUUGGGAUCUGAGAUUUAGAAGGAAUAUGCACGAUUGGGAAGUGAAUGAUCUGGUAGACCUUUUUGCUAGACUACAACAUUGUCACAUUAAUCUCCAGGCAGCCGAUAAGCUCAAAUGGGGACACCAAAAAGGAGUUUAUACAGUCAAGGAAGGGUAUCAACAGUUGUGCUCUAGAAACCCCGUGAUAGCUAACUGGCCCUGCAAACUCAUUUGGAGGACCAAGCUACCACCUAAGGUAGUUUUUUUUACCUGGAUAUCUCUAUAUGAGGCAUGUCUCACCUAAGGCAACAUAAAGAAAAGAAAAAUCCAAUUCCCAAACAGAUGCUAUAGGUGCAAAAAAGAGGCUGAAACCCUCAGACACCUUCUUCAUUGUGAGGUGGCCUCAGAAUUAUGGAGCAUGUUUUUUUGUCUCUCUGGCAUCAAUUGGACCACACCCCUCACUGUUAAGGAUGCAUAUGAGAGUUGGAGUCUAUGGAAAGUUGGCAAAGCCAUCAAGAAGAUCUGGAUUAUGAUACCUGCUUGUAUUUUUUGGUGUAUUUGGUUAGAGAGGAACAAGAGAUGUUUUGAUGGAGAGUCAACUGCUUUAGGCAUUUCGAAGACUAGGUGCACUGAAAAUUUGUUUAGUUGGACCAACUUGUAUCCUGCUGUUAACGCAGAACAACUUCAGGAUUUUACUAACUCAUUAGCUCUGGCUUAGAUAGUUUGUAUAGUUAGCUAGAGAAUUUUUUGUAAGCUCAAAUGUCAUAUCUUGUAAAUUUUGCAUCUUCCUGAUGUUGUUAUUAAUAGCACUUAUCUUAUCAAAAAAAUAAAUAGUCUAUGGUGAAUGAAGUUAGUUAGCAAACACAAACCCCAUUCCUAUUCUUCCUAUUGAUAAAUGUCUAUUAUAGUGUACAACAUCAUAACAAAGCAGAAUAAGAGAAAUGUAGUAUGUUGUUCAUUUUAUGCUAUUCUUACAUCUACAGAUUGAAAAAUAAUUGUACUGCUUCUAUCUCA